UAUUAUGACAAGACUUAUAUCUUUAAGACAAUUUUAUAGAAUAUUAUUCGAUAGUAGUUUUGGCAAAAUUAGAGAUCUGUAGUAUGACUUUAAUAAUUAUAUACAUGAUAUAUAUAGACAUCUAUUCGGAAAAAUCAAAAAGUAUUAUCUUUUAAAAUUAGUACAUAUGUUCUGAACUAUCAUGAUUAUGGAUCAAAUUUAAGAUUUUAAAAAUGGCAAGACAUACAUGUAAAUAUGGGCCUAUGAUAUUAAAGUGAAAUAAAAGACCAAUACUAAUCACAGUAAAGAAUAACCUAUACACUGCAUACAGAAUAUGCAAUAAUUAUUUUGUUUAAUUGUAAUAUUUCUUAUAUUUUAAUUGUAAUAUGUUUUAUAUUUCAGAACUGCAUGGUGAAACAAAAGACAAUUGUUUUGUGAUAGGACUGAAGAAUGGACACAUUCAAUCAGACUUGGAGCAUCAUACGAAAGAAAUGGAAAGUUGUCCACUAGGUCAUCAAUCAUCUGCCGAAGCCAAGAAAGGAACACAAUACAAGAUAGACGUCAGAUAGCAAUAAUGAACUUUGAACAUUUCCAAAAUGUUUAACUUAAAUUUACAUUAAAACAUAGUCUAAUUUUAA